CUAAAGUAGGGCCGCAUUGGUUCUGCAAGCGCGAGAAACGCGAGCAGAUGAAAAGGGAAUACGGUGAGGACGACCCCAGCGGGACCGAGACCGUAGCUGCCCCCGCAACUGUGAACGGUGAGCAAUGUCCAUCAUGCCAUUGGCCUAGGCGCCGAUAAGGCGGACAAAGCUUCGACCCGUGAGCCAGGAGACCUGCCAGUGUUCACGCCGUAAA
rnacentral:ncRNA from 2 species